rnacentral:piRNA from 1 species
GCUGAGACGGGUGUAGUAGCCUGGG